rnacentral:rRNA from 1 species
GAGGAAUAUUGGUCAAUGGGCGCAAGCCUGAACCAGCCAUCCCGCGUGAAGGACGACGGCCCUAUGGGUUGUAAACUUCUUUUGUACGGGAAGCACGUGCGCUAUGUAUAGCGUAUUGACGGUACCGUACGAAUAAGCAUCGGCUAACUCCGUGCCAGCAGCCGCGGUAAUACGGAGGAUGCGAGCGUUAUCCGGAUUCAUUGGGUUUAAAGGGUGCGUAGGCGGCCCGGUAAGUCAGCGGUGAAAGUUUGCGGCUCAACCGUAAAAUUGCCGUUGAUACUGUCGGGCUUGAGUUCAGAUGAAGUGGGCGGAAUGAGUAGUGUAGCGGUGAAAUGCUUAGAUAUUACUCAGAACACCGAUUGCGAAGGCAGCCCACUAAACUGCGACUGACGCUGAUGCACGAAAGCGUGGGGAUCGAAC